GUGUGUGUGGCAACACUGUAUGUGAAGUUAUAAGAUUCCCCUGUAUGGUGUUAACACAUGCUCCAAACUCCAUAGCUCUGCCCAGGAACAAGUUGGGAAACAUUUCUGUUCUAAACAAAGGAAUGUGUACUUGCCUGAAUUGCAUUUAAGUAGUAAAGGGAGGACAAAGCAAGUUCAACAGGUGAAAAAAAAUCAGCAGGGAAUAUCCUUCCGCACAGACUCUCUGGCUCCUGGUUCUCAGCUGGAAAUGUUUUUCAAGAGGGGGACUGAAACUAUAACAAGGAGGGACAAACACCCGGAGGCACCUUUAUCUCUCUCCCCCUGUCCAUCGCAUUCAGUGCAUCUGAAGAGACAAAGGAAGCAGCCAUUUGAUGCUAGGGGAGGGGUCCUGACCUAAAAAGUCUGGUCAGUGAGACUGCUGAAAGCACACGGGGACUUCAGGGACCGUUACUCUGUUGCAGGAGGGUGCUUCAGAGACAGAGGCUAGUUCCUUUGUAUGGAGACGAGGGCCAAGGCAAACUCAAGCAGUACCAAGGAAGAACAACCUUACCCAAGAGUCUCUCUAUAAAGCCAGGCAGAAAGAAGUGCUGAGAAUCAAGCUCAGACUCUUCCAUCCCCCACCAUUCCCAGCCAUCCAGACGAGCAGAAUGGGGGAGUAAGGAAAAAAGAGAUUUCCCACAACCCCUUGGCAUCAUCCACACCAGGCAGAAAGGGAGGCAGACCUCUUCCAGAGUACCCCUGCAGGACUCCAGGAAGCAGGAGGAGGAGUCCCCUCAUGGGACCUCAGGAGACACCUGGCAGGGGGAUCCUCAAGAACAGUUAAUUGACAGGGCAAGGGAGAGAAAUUUAACCCUCUGUGCUGGCAUACAUACGGUUUCACAGCUACAUUGUCCCCACUUCAAUUUUGUUUAAUAAAUACAUCUUAUUGUAAAUA